GGCAGCCAUUCGGUUAUCUGGCAUGGAAAUUAGUGAUCUGACCAUGGAGCUCAGUGAUCUUGGCCAGGAUAUCACCCAAGGUGUGAGAAGUUCCACCAGAGCUGUUCGAGUAGCCGAAGAGAGAUUGCGUCGCUUGACAACCAUGUCUCCAACAGGAAAUGACAGUAACCAAUCUGGGAGUGGGGACAGCAGAGCCGGUUCUGGCUAAAAGGGCAAGAGACAUUAAGGAGGGGAUUGUGAAAGGCCGUUCCGUCUUCCAAUUAUUUCUCUCCCUUACAAGGUUCUCUCGGCUGGCCUUGAAUUAUUUUAGCAAACGAGGUAAGAAGUAGAGUACAUAGUUCAAGAUAUCAGUGGGUGCAAAACUAAAUUUUGAUCACUGUAAGUAAUUUCAUUUCCUUCUGA
rnacentral:misc_RNA from 1 species